UGCAGGAAGACGGCCCUAUGGGUUGUAAACUGCUUUUAUACGGGAAUAAACCUCCUUACGUGUAGGGAGCUGAAUGUACUGUAAGAAUAAGGAUCGGCUAACUCCGUGCCAGCAGCCGCGGUAAUACGGAGGAUCCAAGCGUUAUCCGGAUUUAUUGGGUUUAAAGGGUGCGUAGGCGGCUUAUUAAGUCAGGGGUGAAAGACGGUGGCUCAACCAUCGCAGUGCCUUUGAUACUGAUGAGCUUGAAUUUACCUGAGGUAGGCGGAAUGUGACAAGUAGCGGUGGAAUGCAUAGAUAUGUCACAGAACACCAAUUGCGAAGGCAGCUUACUAAAGUAAUAUUGACGCUGAGGCACGAAAGCGUGGGGAUCAAACAGGAUUAGAUACCCUGGUAGUCCACGCCCUAAACGA
rnacentral:rRNA from 1 species